CAUGUAUGGUUAGUGUUAUCAU
rnacentral:miRNA from 1 species